CCUCGGGGGGCUGCAGUGGGGAAUAUUGGACAAUGGGCGAAAGCCUGAUCCAGCCAUGCCGCGUGAGUGAUGAAGGCCCUAGGGUUGUAAAGCUCUUUCAGUGGGGAAGAUAAUGACGGUACCCACAGAAGAAGCCCCGGCUAACUUCGUGCCAGCAGCCGCGGUAAUACGAAGGGGGCUAGCGUUGUUCGGAAUUACUGGGCGUAAAGCGCACGUAGGCGGAUUUUUAAGUCGGGGGUGAAAUCCCGGGGCUCAACCCCGGAAUAGCCUCCGAUACUGGAUAUCUAGAGGCCGAGAGAGGUGAGUGGAAUUCCGAGUGUAGAGGUGAAAUUCGUAGAUAUUCGGAGGAACACCAGUGGCGAAGGCGGCUCACUGGCUCGGUACUGACGCUGAGGUGCGAAAGCGUGGGGAGCAAACAGGAUUAGAUACCCCGGUAGUC
rnacentral:rRNA from 1 species